rnacentral:misc_RNA from 1 species
AAAAAAACAGAAACAAAAAAAAAAUGGAUUUCAUCAGAAUGAAAAUAUGUCUUUCUGUCUUAUUUUUUUUCCAUGUUUGGUUUUGUAGAGCUUUUAAUGAUGUCUCAACAAUUCCUUUUAACAAAGGAUUCAGCCAUCUCUUUGGUGAUGGAAAUAUUCUUCAUGCUAACGAUGAUAACAGCCUUCAACUUCAUCUCAACCAAAACACAGGUUCAGGGUUCAAGUCUUCUGACCUUUACAACCAUGGUUUCUUCAGUGCUAAAAUUAAAUUGCCAUCAGAUUAUACUGCAGGAAUAGUUGUUGCCUUCUAUACGACGAAUCAAGAUGUAUUUAAGAAGACACACGAUGAACUAGAUUUUGAAUUUUUGGGAAAUAUAAAAGGAAAAGCAUGGAGAUUUCAAACAAAUAUGUAUGGAAAUGGAAGCACACAUAGAGGAAGAGAAGAAAGAUAUACUCUAUGGUUUGAUCCUUCUAAAGAGUUCCAUCGUUAUAGUAUUUU